AUGCUCCCAGCCAGGGUGUCCCCAAAGGAGUUGCCCCACAGAAGAAUUACACCCACUGUGAAAGAGUUCGAGGGCAGCGGGAUGCUGGUCCAUGUGCCUGCUCACAAGCACGAAUCCGCAGAUCACGCUGGACCAUUACUGCACAAAAGCCUGCAGGAAAGAGGUUGCCGUGUUGCAAACACGAGAUGUACAGCCCUGGACAUUCAGGAAAACGUCUACUGCAUUAAUCUCCCGUUCAGUGCAAGAAACUUAGUCUGGUCUGCAUGUGUAGAGGGAUGGGAGCACAGACAGGUCUGUGUGUGGGGUAUUUGCACCUUGGAGCCAUCGCUCUGCCCAAGUACACGGUAAUUUAGGAUGAGAAGUCGCAGGCAGGGCCGGAGGCAGGGCUGCCCUUGGCGGGGGCUGCCCAGGGGCUGAGCCGUGCCCCCGGCGCCGGGCACAUGAGCUCGCCUCUGCUGCCCCCCGCAGCCCGGCCGCCGGAACUGUGCCCGCCCCGGCGCGGGCUCCAGAUUAACCUGCCUCAUCGGCGGCUCUUCACCCCGCUCACUCAAAUCAUGCCUGCCGGCAAUGGAGCUUUUAGUACUUUGCGGAUGGCGAGAAAGUGUUACACCAAUCCGAGACUGAAGGAAGCCCCGAUUCCCCGGCAAAAUCAAACCCCAUGAGAGAGUGGCUCUGCCCACUUACACAGCUUGAAAGUUCACCCACAGCCUGUCCUCAUUUUACCAGGUUUUCUGUACCAGAUCUGCUCAUUACCAUCUCGUAUUUUUUUUCUUUUCUUUUUUACCCCUCUCUUUUUGUUUCUUUCAGGCUUGUAUCAAACAUUAAGCGACUCUAGGGUGUGGCAUAAUCCUUGUGAUCUUCGCACAGGUCAUUGAGGAUUUUUUGUAUGAUUAUAUGCCUGGGCGAAGUCUGUUUCUUGAAAUCUUUUGGCUAUAUAGAGGAGCACAGUGUUUCCUUACAAAUAACCUCAAAUGAAACCUGUGUUUAACAUCAGCCAUUUUGAGUGCUUCAGUGUAGCCUUUCAGAGACACAAAAUACUUUGUCUGGGGACCGCAGAAUCACUGAAUCAUAGGAUGUUAAGGGGUUGGAAAGGAUCUUGAAGAUCAUCUAGUCCCUACCCUACUCUCCCUCCCUCACUCCAGGGGCUGGAACAUGUCCCAUUAGACCAGGUUGCUCAAGGUCUUAUCCAACCUGGCCUUGAAUACUGCCAGGGGUGGUGUCAGCAAAACUGAGCGUCCACAUCUUCUCUGGGUAACCUGUUCCAGUGUCUCAUAACCCAUGCAGUAAAGAAUUUCUUCCUUAGAUAAACUGGUGUUGUUAGGUCCAUCCCAAAGGGGAGCAUCACAGA
rnacentral:lncRNA from 1 species